CCUAGCUUUUGUUGGGUGGAUGAGUGGCGAACGGGUGAGUAACACGUGAGUAACCUGCCCCCUUCUUUGGGAUAACGCCCGGAAACGGGUGCUAAUACUGGAUAUUCACUGAUCUUCGCAUGGGGGUUGGUGGAAAGGUUUUUUCUGGUGGGGGAUGGGCUCGCGGCCUAUCAGCUUGUUGGUGGGGUGAUGGCCUACCAAGGCUUUGACGGGUAGCCGGCCUGAGAGGGUGACCGGUCACAUUGGGACUGAGAUACGGCCCAGACUCCUACGGGAGGCAGCAGUGGGGAAUAUUGCACAAUGGGCGAAAGCCUGAUGCAGCGACGCCGCGUGAGGGAUGGAGGCCUUCGGGUUGUAAACCUCUUUCGCUCAUGGUCAAGCCGCAACAUUGGUUGUGGUGAGGGUAGUGGGUAAAGAAGCGCCGGCUAACUACGUGCCAGCAGCCGCGGUAAUACGUAGGGCGCGAGCGUUGUCCGGAAUUAUUGGGCGUAAAGGGCUUGUAGGCGGUUGGUCGCGUCUGCCGUGAAAUCCUCUGGCUUAACUGGGGGCGUGCGGUGGGUACGGGCUGACUUGAGUGCGGUAGGGGAGACUGGAACUCCUGGUGUAGCGGUGGAAUGCGCAGAUAUCAGGAAGAACACCGGUGGCGAAGGCGGGUCUCUGGGCCGUUACUGACGCUGAGGAGCGAAAGCGUGGGGAGCGAACAGGAUUAGAUACCCUGGUAGUCCACGCUGUAAACGUUGGGCACUAGGUGUGGGGGCCACCCGUGGUUUCUGCGCCGUAGCUAACGCUUUAAGUGCCCCGCCUGGGGAGUACGGCCGCAAGGCUAAAACUCAAAGGAAUUGACGGGGGCCCGCACAAGCGGCGGAGCAUGCGGAUUAAUUCGAUGCAACGCGAAGAACCUUACCAAGGCUUGACAUGCACGGCGGCACUGCAGAGAUGUGGUGGCAUUUAGUUGGUCGUGUGCAGGUGGUGCAUGGUUGUCGUCAGCUCGUGUCGUGAGAUGUUGGGUUAAGUCCCGCAACGAGCGCAACCCUUGCCCUAUGUUGCCAGCACGUGAUGGUGGGGACUCGUGGGGGACUGCCGGGGUUAAC
rnacentral:rRNA from 1 species